rnacentral:lncRNA from 1 species
AUAAAGAAUUAUGAAAAAUAUACUAAUUAUCAUUUAAUUAAUGAAUAAUCAAAAUAUUUUAUUUUCCUCGAAAUAAAUAAGUUCGCGACAUCCAUAGAAAUGCUAGAAGAACAUGAUUCUUCCCACGUAUUCUACACUUUUAACAUUUCGAAUCGGGAAAUUUUACUGAGGAAAUCAAAUUUCCGCUGGGAUUUGCUGGGGAAUCCUUUAAAUAAAUGCGGUCCAGAUCGCCAUGAUAUCAGUUGUAAACGAAUUAUCAUCGACUACAUAUCUGCUUCCCGAUUUUCAUACUUAGAGGUAUAGUUUAAUUUAAAAUAUUAAUUUAAAUAUUGAAUAUUUUUAUAACUUUGUCGUUUAGUAAAUUAAUUUUUAAAGCUAGCAUUUUGUAAGUAUCAAAACGCUAGAAACUGUGAAUUUUAUUGGUGUGUACCCCC